rnacentral:rRNA from 1 species
UACGUAGGGUCCGAGCGUUGUCCGGAAUUAUUGGGCGUAAAGGGCUCGUAGGCGGUCCGUCACGUCGGGAGUGAAAACUCAGGGCUCAACCCUGAGCGUGCUUCCGAUACGGGCGGACUAGAGGUAUGCAGGGGAGAACGGAAUUCCCGGUGUAGCGGUGAAAUGCGCAGAUAUCGGGAGGAACACCGGUGGCGAAGGCGGCAUCCUGGACCGGCAUUGACGCUGAGGCGCGAAAGCCAGGGGAGCAAACGGG